UCCGCUGUAGCACUAAUGGCAAAGAUAUCAAAAAAGUCUUCCGGGUUCGAACCCCGGCAGCGGAA